rnacentral:rRNA from 1 species
GACGAACGCUGGCGGCGUGCUUAACACAUGCAAGUCGAACGGAAAGGCCCUGCUUUUGUGGGGUGCUCGAGUGGCGAACGGGUGAGUAACACGUGAGUAACCUGCCCUUGACUUUGGGAUAACUUCAGGAAACUGGGGCUAAUACCGGAUAGGAGCUCCUGCUGCAUGGUGGGGGUUGGAAAGUUUCGGCGGUUGGGGAUGGACUCGCGGCUUAUCAGCUUGUUGGUGGGGUAGUGGCUUACCAAGGGUUUGACGGGAGGCCGGCCUGAGAGGGUGACCGGCCACAUUGGGACUGAGAGACGGCCCAGAAUCCUACGGGAGGCAGCAGUGGGGAAUAUUGCACAAUGGGCGGAAGCCUGAUGCAGCAACGCCGCGUGCGGGAUGACGGCCUUCGGGUUGUAAACCGCUUUCGCCUGUGACGAAGCGUGAGUGACGGUAAUGGGUAAAGAAGCACCGGCUAACUACGUG